UACGGAGGGUGCAAGCGUUGUUCGGAUUUACUGGGCGUAAAGCGCGCGCAGGUGGGUGUACAAGUCGGAAGUGAAAUCCCAGGGCUCAACCCUGGGGCUGCUCCCGAAACUGUACGCCUAGGGACUGGUAGAGGCUGGUAGAAUUCCCGGUGUAGCGGUGGAAUGCGUAGAGAUCGGGAAGAAUACCCGUGGCGAAGGCGGCCAGCUGGGCCAGAUCCGACACUGAGCGCGAAAGCGUGGGGAGCAAACAGG
rnacentral:rRNA from 1 species